GCCACAUUCCAACCGUUCCAGCCACUGUCCCUGGUUACAGAAAGAAAAGCAACUUUAAAGGCAUUCCAGAGGGAAGAAUUUCAUUCAUUCAACUGAUACCUCCAGACCCUCUUAGGACCAGAUGCUGAGCUGGGCACAGGGUUCUCCGGGGAAGAAUUCAUCACAACAAACACAGCCCAGCCUGCAAGAUCUGACCAUCGGUUUGCUCCAAGCAGAGCACAUCUUCUGAGAUAGGAGAACUUGAGGAGAUGGACCUGAUUUUCACUCCAGUCAGGCCUUCAGCUUUCAGAGAGUUGGUCCUCAUCAUCCAUGGCUGAUUAUGCUUAUGGUCCCUACUGAUCAGGGAAGACUGAAGGCUCACCUGCUGUUGCAAACCCUGCCUCACCUGCCCCAGCACUCUGCCUUCUCUGGUCUGAGGGGAAGGUGUUGUUUCUACGUCAUGUGCGCACAGAGUCAAAGAGAAGAGGGAGCGUUCUGAUGUGAUAGCCUCCGGUGUGGAGCCUUCUGUCCCCAAGCAAUUACUGCUGAGCCCCUGAGACAGGAGGGGCAGCACCCCCGGAGGGAAGGGGCAGCUCGGCUCCUGUGUCUGGGCUGCUAGAGAAAAAUGGUGGUAAGACUUGCAAGCUAGCUUGCGCUGUGGUUUGUUUUUCCCUGGAGUAUCUAAAAUAAAACUUUUCGCUGCU
rnacentral:lncRNA from 1 species